rnacentral:antisense_RNA from 1 species
ACCUUGCGGGGUCUGCCAUUCCAUAAAUUCAGACGG